AAAGGUUUGGUCGCUUUUCAUUAUAUGGGAUUUUUUAUAAAACCAAAGAGGCUCCAUAAUUCCUACAGUGGUUUUACCAACUACAGAAAUUAUAGAGCC
rnacentral:ncRNA from 1 species